rnacentral:lncRNA from 1 species
UUUUCUAGGGUCUAGGGCUAGUCUCAGGACUUAGAGUUUGGUGUUGAAACAAAAGAAAUGUUGACAAUCAUGCAAAUCUCGUAAAAAACCAUUCUCAACAAAAGCAUUGAUGGAUUCAAGGAUAGUGUCUGAUCUUGGGGAGUAGAAGGCUACAUAGAAAAGUAAUACAUUUGAGUUUUUCUUUCAAUCUAUAUUUACCAGGAACUGGAGAAAACAUCAAUGUUUUAGUACCACUGUUUGAUUUCCUUCUUCACAUUG